AUUGAACGCUGGCGGCAUGCCUUACACAUGCAAGUCGAACGGUAACGCGGGGCAACCUGGCGACGAGUGGCGAACGGGUGAGUAAUGCAUCGGAACGUGCCCGGUAGUGGGGGAUAACUGCUCGAAAGAGCAGCUAAUACCGCAUACGACCUGAGGGUGAAAGGGGGGGAUCGCAAGACCUCUCGCUAUCGGGGCGGCCGAUGUCGGAUUAGCUAGUUGGUGGGGUAAAAGCCCACCAAGGCGACGAUCCGUAGCUGGUCUGAGAGGACGACCAGCCACACUGGGACUGAGACACGGCCCAGACUCCUACGGGAGGCAGCAGUGGGGAAUUUUGGACAAUGGACGCAAGUCUGAUCCAGCCAUGCCGCGUGCGGGAAGAAGGCCUUCGGGCUGUAAACCGCUUUUGUCAGGGAAGAAAUCUUCUGAGUUAAUACCUCGGGAGGAUGACGGUACCUGAAGAAUAAGCACCGGCUAACUACGUGCCAGCCGCCGCCGUAA
rnacentral:rRNA from 1 species